UCUCUGAUAGUAUAUCGGUUAGUACACGCGCCUGUCACUAGGACGCGCGAAAGCUGGGUUCGACUCCCAGUCAGAGAG